CCUGUCAUGUGUAAAGACCCGGAGGAUAACUUUACUGGAGUUAGAGAGAUUGGUGAAAGUGAAAAGCAAUCCGAGGACCCAGAAAAAAAGUGAUUGAAGAAUUUGAAGAAAUGCACCCAGCGAAUUGCAGUUAAGACAACGACGAAACAGCAGAUGACCAAAGCAUUCAUCUUUUCCUGGACAUCUCCUGUUGUGUGGAUGACUAUGUGGAUGAAGAGGGGGAAAUCCUUGCUGAGGAGCAGAGUGAAGCCUAUCCUCACAUACAAGAUGGGGAGGAGCAUGGAAGUGAUCAGUCCAGAAGUGAAAAAACAGAACACUUGUUGUUGAAACUUUUGGCCAUGAUGAAAUUGACUGGUAUCCUCCGUGACGACUUCUUACAGUAUGUGGUUUGUCCAAAAUGUAUGACAGUGUACAUGCUUACUGAAACCUAUGAGCGCAGACAGGAUGGUACAAAGGUUUGCAGGACUUGUGGUCACAUCCC